rfam:Triticum aestivum genome assembly, contig: Triticum_aestivum_CS42_TGACv1_scaffold_196846_3AL
GAGGUACUCCCUCCGCCCGAAAAUACUUGUCAUCAAAAUGGAUAAAAAUGAUGUACCUAGAACUACUAUACGUCUAGACACAUCCCUUUUUAUUCAUUUUGAUGACAAGUAUUUCCGGACGGAGGGAGUAAUAU